ACGUAACCGGAUCAGAUAUAUGUAUAACUAAAUAUACGAAUCUGAUAACCAUACUUACUGUUACUUAAAAACUAUACUUCAGUAUUUAUUUUGGCUGCAUGCCCUCCAUCUAUUUUUUUCUUAUAGACAAUUUUUUUUUUUGAACCUUCGUGAAUAAGGAGUGCAUUAUAUUCAGCUCGUAGCCUUAUAAUAUCACUCAAUCCUAAGUCCAAUCGUGCCCC
rnacentral:lncRNA from 1 species